AUUGAACGCUGGCGGCAUGCCUUACACAUGCAAGGCGAACGGCAGCAUGAUCUAGCUUGCUAGAUUGAUGGCGAGUGGCGAACGGGUGAGUAAUACAUCGGAACGUGCCCUGUAGUGGGGGAUAACUAGUCGAAAGAGUAGCUAAUACCGCAUACGACCUGCGGGUGAACGUGGGGGACCGCAAGGCCUCACGCGAUUGGGUUGGCCGAUGUCCAAUUAGCUAGUUGGCGGGGUAAGAGCCCACCAAGGCGAUGAUCGGGAGCUGGUCUGAGAGGAUGAUCAGCCACACUGGGACUGGGACACGGCCCAGACUCCUACGGGAGGCAGCAGUGGGGAAUUUUGGACAAUGGGGGCAACCCUGAUCCAGCGAUUCCGCGUGAGUGAAGAAGGCCUUCGGGUUGUAAAGCUCUUUUGUCCGGAACGAAACGGUUACGGUGAAUACCCGUGACUACUGACGGUACCGGAAGAAUAAGCACCGGCUAACUACGUGCCAGCCGCCGCGGUAACAC
rnacentral:rRNA from 1 species